UAUCGGCACAAGUCCAAAUGUAGUUUAAAAAGCAGUCUGUACGAGGUGAAAAAUUUCAUACUGCUGGCGGCGUCAGGGGCCUGUAAUGAACUGAACUCAUAAACAGGCUUAGUGCACAAGUACCAGUUAAAAGUUUGAGGGUGACAAGUGUUCUCCAGCAUUGUCUGAAGAUGCCCCGUCGGCCACCGAUGGCCACCUCUGCCACGGUUACCAGAGUAUCUCGGAACUGCUACCAGCGAGAAUUCAGCCCUCUAUAUCCUCUGUCCGCCUCCUUUUUGUGUCUUUCAAUGUGCUGUGACUCAAUAACUCCCAGCAUGGAAUUUGAGCACGCACACACACACAUAAACGGAGAAAUACAGAACAAACACAUCUCCUGGAUCCUGAGCACUAAAAACUACACUCAUCAUUUAUCAACUAG
ensembl:lncRNA